CACGUAGGGCGCAAGCGUUGUCCGGAAUUAUUGGGCGUACAGAGCUCGUAGGCGGUCUGUUGCGUCCGCUGUGAAAACUCGGGGCUUAACCCCGAGCCUGCAGUGGAUACGGGCAGGCUAGAGGUAGGCAGGGGAGAAUGGAAUUCCCGGUGUAGCGGUGAAGUGCGCAGAUAUCGGGAGGAACACCGGUGGCGAAGGCGGUUCUCUGGGCCGAUACUGACGCUGAGGAGCGAAAGCGUGGGGAGCGAACAGG
rnacentral:rRNA from 1 species